AAAUAAUCUAUCACAUCUGAAAAAGUGAACAAUGGGAAAAAUACUCACCGUGAGUAGAGAUUAAAAAUAGACCUUAAAAAUGUACUUAAGUAGAAAUAAUUCAUGAAUCUAAAUUAUUAUUUAUGAGCAGACCUCUAAGGGUUCGGGACAACCUUUUAAGGUCCCUCUUUGUGACUUGAACCUUGAACACAUGAGCUGAGGUUUGAAUGAGCAAGAUAUUUUAUUUUUAUGAGUUUUUUUCCCCCUGGGGUAUAAACCAUUAAUUUUCUUAAAUGUUUGUCCUAUAUCACUAAACUCAUCUACUAUGGGGUUGGGGAGCCAUCAUAUUUGAAAGCUUCAUGGCAACUUAAUAAGAGCACUUUAGCAAGGAAUAUUCUAGAAGACAGAAAUCAUGAAUAAAAUGUAAGUGCACAGAUUGGCAAGCACUGGUUCUUUUAUGGCUACUUUUUUUUUGUUUGUUUGUUUUUUGAGACAGGGUUUCUCUUUUCUCUUUAUAGCUCUGGCUGUCCUGGAACUCACUUUGUAGACCAGGCUGGCCUCGAACUCAGAAAUCCACCUGCUUCUGCCUCCUGAGUGCUGGGAUUAAAGGCGUGCGCCACCACGCCCGGCCGUAUGGCUACUUUUUAAAGGUCAUAAUUAAAGCAAAUUCUGGGGCAGCCCAGUUUUAAAAAGUAUCUUGCUCAGAAGUAAUAAUCAAAAGACUGUGUUGAAGAAGUUUUAUAAAAACAGUAACUUGCUUCUUGCUUGUAUGUAUUGAUAAUGUAACAUUCCUCAUAAAAAUAGGGGCUUAACUCAAACUCCAAGCUUAUAUGACAAAAGAGAAAUUCCUGAAACCAGGGAGUUCAUGUUUGUUUGUAUAAAGGAGCUAGAGAAAAUACCCAAGGAGAUGAAGGGGUCUGCAGCCCCAUAGGAGGAGCAACAAUAUACACUAACCAGUACCCCCAGAGCUCCCUGGGACUAAACCACCAAUCAAAGAAAACACAUGGUGGGAUUCAUUGCUCUAGCUGCAUAUGUGGCAGAGGAUGGCCUAGUUGGUCAUCAAUGGGAGGAGAGUCCCUUGAUCCUGUGAACGCUCUAUGCCCCAGAAUAGGGGAAUGCCAGGGCCAGGAAGCAGGAGUGGGUGGGUUGGGGAGCAGAGUGGGAGGGGGGGGAAUAAGGGAUUUUCUGAGGGGAAACUAGGAAAGGUGAUAACAUUUGAAAUGUAAAUAAAGAAAAUAUCUAAUUUUUAAAAAAAGAGAGAAAGAAACAGAGCCCUGCUGUAUUUCUGAGGAUAGCCUCAAGUUUCUGGCAAUCCUCCUGCCUCAGCCUCCCUAAAGCUGAGAUUAUAAGCAUGUCCUGCUUUAGAGGUCAUCUGGGUAGACAGUAGUGCAGCAAAGAUUUAUAAACCAGGCAUGUCAUGGUCAGUCCAUCAUAUCUCAUUUUUAUGUACGCAUCCUCCCCAGGCUCUGGCAGUUGCAAGUCUCAGAAGGGUCUAAGCUUGUCAAGUGGGCAGUAGUUCUCCAUUUUCUUUGAAGACUUCCUUCUAAGGGUUAUUUUUCAGCAGCAGAGGAGAAUGAAAGUAAAAGGAGGAAACUUGAAUGCAUCCUUUUCUCAGACCUGCCUGGUCAUGCUUGAACAGUGAAGUCUCUAAAGUGAAUGGGGUUGCCUCUGUCCUCCCUCAUAGCCAAGGGAUAGGGGACUUGAGCAAAGUAGACUGCAGGGAGAAUGAGAGACCCAGAUGAAUAUCUGGGUCUUGUUUAUAAGACAGGCAACAUUCUGGCUGCAAAUUUCUGUUUGAGGAGAGGUUUGACUUUUAAGUUUAUUUGUUAUAUUUUAUGACAGUGUAAAAUACACAUAGAAAAGAGUAUAAGCUGCACCAAUCAGCUAAACUCUUGAUGCAAUGGAUUUUUACAUAUAAAUAUACAGACCAUCUAUAGCACUCUAGUACAUGAAUUCUUAUAGGCUACCUUCCUAGUCUAGACCACAUUCCCAACCUUGCUAACUGUCAUUGUGAUCUCUGUCACCAUGCAUCACAUAUGUCUAUUCCAGUUCAAUAUUUGCAUUUCAGUUGCAGAAUAAAUAAAUGGAAUGUUAUAAUAUGGAUCCCUGUGACUUCCUCCUCCCAUAUAAAGUUUGAGGAAUGGAUUCACACUGUAUGCUUUGGUAGCAUUGUGCAGUGUCCUUUUUUUUUUUAUCUCCAUUGAGUAGUAGUCUACUGUGUCCAAAGCCCACAGAUGAUUUAUAUGCUUUGCUUUACAUAUGUUUGGACUGUUUUUACUAUGAGUAACUAUGUUUGGAGGCAUUAUGAGUACUGUUGUAUAUGAUGUGGUCAUUUAAAUUAUUCUAUGUAUAAUCACAAAUGGAAUUGUUGGAUGAGAAGGCAGACAUGCAGUUAGCUUCAGUAUAUAGAACUAUGCAGUUUUCCAGGUAAUUGGACCACUGUCAAAUUAUCCAGGUAGCUAUCUCCAGAAUUCCUGAACUUUGUGCUCACACUUACACUGUUUGUGAUAUGUAGGCUGCCAGUUGUUUUCAAAUAAUUAGAUGUCUGUUGGUGGAUGAGCUUGUCCAAAUGGAUUUCACAGGGGUCACAAUCCUACUUUCCUCUCCUUGCCUCCAAAAAGAUUCUGUCAGAGGGUAUUUCUGCGGUUUAAUAUAAUGGGGCACUGAAGGACCACUUCCCAUGCCAUAGCUACCCAUCUGGGGCCUGAAUAGGUUCACUGCAUGGUUCUAGAGUCUCCACACAGUCUCCAGAUUCUUCUGCCACCCUACCCCAUGCCCUAUACCUCUUCUGCAUUUCUUUCUGAGGAAACUUGCUGACAUUUUUUUUAAUGAGGUGUUUUAAAGGACAGCUUUCCAUGGAGGGAUUUUACAGCAGAAGCCAAUUGUAUGAGUUAUUUUGAAGCUCCAGUGUGUGUGCUAAAAACGAGUUGGUUUACCUGGCAGUGUUUGCCAUUAGUUAUCCUCUUUAUAACUCCUUGUUCAAUGCUGCCGCUUACCUACCCUACAGUGUAUGCCCAGAUCCAGUUAGGGUGUGAACUCACUCCUGUUGUAACAAAUCCUCUAGGACUAGCCCUUCAGCAGGUUUCCCUACACUGCUUGGCUAGUGUAAGCUCCCUUAGCCACCACUCUUUCCGGAUCUCCUAGCUUCAACAGGUCCUGGGGGGACAGUAAUACUUACAUCCUUCUCAAACACCUGAGAUCUCGAAGAGUCUCAGCACUUUGAGACUCAGAUCAAGACUUUCCAAAACCUUCAACUCCACCCUCCCUUGAGAAGGGUGGGAAUCGCCUUCCAGUGGCAGAAACCCAGCUUCUUCAAAGUUACUCAAAAAUAUCUCUCGAAAAGCUCUUCUCUCUACAGGUAUUGAAGCCCCAGUGUUGAUUGUCAGGGCCAGCGGGAGGAACUGAGUGCUAGGUGGCGGGACAUUGGCCAGCCUGACACCUGUCUUGGGCGACCUCUGUGACUGCAGCCUCCAACAGCUGGCAGCGGCCACUGCCUCAGCAGGGGCCCGCCAGGAGCGGAAGGAAUUAAACGCCCGCCCAUCUCAUCAGACUUGGCCGCUCCCUCCUCCUCCUCUCCCUCCCCCCUGCUCGCUGCCUCCUCCUCCCGGUCCCCACAGGCUCUGCCGCAGGACUCAGUGCCAGCUACGCUAGGAGCCAAGCUCAGGCUCAGAGCGCUCAGAGCACAGCAGGGCUGACGCCCAGGGCUUUCUCUGAGAUGGCAGUGAAGUAAGGGGACCACUUGAUAGACGCCAGGACCCUAAGCUGAGCUGGAGAGCCUGCUGCUCCUCCAGUAGGGGACAUGGGGGACCCGUCCUACAGCGAGAAACCCCGUCUGCACUACGCGGGUGACUUCACCUGGAACAGCAUGUCUGGUCGUAGCGUGCGCCUGAGGUCAGUCCCCAUCCAGAGCCUCUCAGAGCUGGAGCGGGCACGACUGCAGGAAGUGGCUUUUUAUCAGUUGCAGCAGGACUGUGACCUGGGCUGUCAGAUCACCAUCCCCAAAGAUGGACAAAAGAGAAAGAAAUCUUUGAGAAAGAAACUGGAUUCACUAGGGAAGGAAAAGAACAAAGACAAAGAAUUCAUCCCACAGGCAUUUGGAAUGCCCUUAUCCCAAGUCAUUGCUAAUGACCGGGCAUAUAAACUGAAGCAAGACUUGCAGAGGGAGGAGCAGAAGGAUGCAUCAUCGGAUUUUGUGUCUUCCCUCCUCCCAUUUGGGAAUAAAAAACAAAACAAAGAACUCUCAAGCAGUAACUCAUCUCUCAGCUCAACCUCAGAAACACCAAAUGAGUCUACAUCACCGAAUACUCCAGAACCAGCUCCUCGGGCCAGGAGAAGGGGCGCCAUGUCCGUGGAUUCCAUCACUGAUCUGGAUGACAACCAGUCUCGACUCCUAGAAGCUUUACAACUCUCCUUGCCUGCUGAGGCUCAGAGUAAAAAAGAAAAGGCCAGAGAUAAGAAGCUGAGUCUGAAUCCUAUUUACAGGCAGGUCCCCAGGCUGGUGGACAGCUGCUGUCAACAUCUGGAAAAACAUGGCCUCCAGACAGUGGGGAUAUUCCGAGUUGGAAGCUCAAAGAAGAGAGUAAGACAAUUGCGUGAAGAAUUUGACCGUGGGGUUGAUGUCUGUCUGGAAGAGGAGCAUAGUGUUCACGAUGUGGCAGCCUUGUUAAAGGAGUUCCUUAGAGACAUGCCUGACCCCCUUCUCACAAGGGAGCUAUACACUGCAUUUAUCAACACUCUCCUGUUGGAGCCUGAGGAACAACUGGGCACCUUGCAACUCCUCAUUUACCUUCUACCUCCCUGCAACUGCGACACCCUCCACCGCCUCCUACAGUUCCUCUCCAUUGUGGCCAGGCAUGCUGAUGAUAAUGUCAGCAAAGAUGGACAAGAGGUUACUGGGAACAAAAUGACAUCUCUGAACUUAGCCACUAUAUUUGGACCCAACCUGCUCCACAAGCAGAAGUCAUCAGACAAAGAAUAUUCUGUUCAGAGCUCAGCCAGAGCUGAGGAGAGCACAGCCAUCAUAGCUGUGGUACAGAAGAUGAUUGAAAAUUAUGAAGCCUUGUUCAUGGUUCCCCCAGAUCUCCAGAAUGAAGUGCUGAUCAGCCUUCUAGAGACAGAUCCAGAUGUUGUGGACUACUUGCUCAGAAGAAAGGCUUCCCAAUCCUCAACCAGUUCUGUAUUGCCGGCCGCAGGGCAGGCUUGCUCACAGAGCCCUGCCAGCGACUUUACACCCUGACCUGGAGAGACCAGCUAAGGGUGAGAAUGUUGAUUCACUCUCCAUGCCAUCUCAUGUUUGGUUAGCUAGGACUGGCCAUGCAUGCUGGGGAUGGUCCUGGGGUUUAAGAAUCUAACAAGUUACCCUCCCUGCUUAGAGAUAACCCCAUGUUGUCUGGCAGCCCAUCUACUCAAUGAUCCACUGAACACUGAGUAUGAAAAGUGCAGAAGCUAGGCACAUUUAGACUCAAAACACAAUGACUUAGGAACCUAACCAGCUAACAUUCUGUUAAGACCCCAAAAUCACAGAAAGAUCACAUCAAGCUUUAGAGACCGUGCCUCAGCUACUGCUACCCUCAUCAAAGUCAAGUACUUCUGUAAGCAAGUACUCCAAUAUCUUAAUGCUCACUUAGGACAACCUUGUUAAAGGUGGGGAUCCUAUGUGCAUAUCAGAAGGAACACUUGUGAGACCUACGUUAGAGAUUCUGGAGAGGAGGAUAUUUGUCUCCAUCAGGGAAUUCUUUUGAAAUGGGUUCAUAAGCAAAUUUGGCUAUACCUCUCAUCUCUGCUGAGAAAACAAACUGAACGGGAUGUUUUAAACAUUUUAAGUGGCAAUUAACUAUAAGUUAAAAGUAUAGCCUUUUAGUAUUACCACACCAAGUACAUGUGCUUAAUACAUUUUACAGGGAGUCUAAACCUUACUACUUGGACUACUAGACAAAUAAGGUAUUUUAACCAACUUCCUGUUUUUCUUGGGCAUUUCUAAUCUUAGGUCACAAGCAAAAAUAUUCCAGACUAGCUUAGUGCAAGUCCUAUCAUAUAAUGAACUUUAAUAGCUGUCAGUAUUAUUACAGUCCAAAGCAGCAUUCCACAUAUUUUUCAAGCUGCUUCCCAUGUGUACCCAUAUUGUACCCAUUUCCAUAGCUGGAAUAUAGCAAUGGGGGAAAGCAAAAAGGGAAAGUAUCACCUGUCAUUAAAUGUCACUGUCUCUGUCCCUAGCUACCUGGAGCCCUGAACUUUAAAACAAUUUGUGUGCUUCUAUAUCCAAAAUUUAUCGUCAACCACUUCCCUAAUUCUUACGUCCCCACAACCAGACUUCAUUCCAUUUUCUGAGUCCUACAUAUGGAGGCUAGAGGAGGCUUAAUUGUUGUCUGUGAUGGGUAUACUACUCUCCUUUCUCUAGUUGAGCCCCAUCCAUGUCAAGGUCACAAUCAUUAAAUUCACUUCUAGUGGACUCAACACUACAGCUUGAUCUUCAUUGGUACUUUCUUGGCUCUUAGCAGAUCUUUAGCCCACUCCCAUAUAUAUGGAUUUGGAUGGGAAGGGAGGUUUGAUUAUAAGAGACCCUUAAACUCCUUCAUGUAUCUGAAUCUUCUAUAAACACAAUGUCCUGACCCUUCCCCAAGGUUUCCAUUUCAACGGGCAAAAAUGGCUUCCAAGGCAACAUCUUGGCACUCAAAAGGAUCCCUGUUCGGUUGUAGCAACCUCAUAAUGCCACCUUGAAAUCUUUCAUGUUUAGCAUGGUGUCUCAUCACAUGCUUAGUUUGCAGCAGGAUCCAUGACUGAUUCAGCCAGUUCAAAGUCCAGAGUGGAGCUUGCGAAUGCAUAUUUCCAAAUGAUGGAGAUGUAGUACUAAUAUUAGGGAGAGUAUGGUCUCUCAGCUGCUAAAUGAACUUUUGCAAAGUCAACUUGGAGGAAAGAGGAAAGGGACAAGGCCCCUCUCUCCUCUUGAUCUGGGUGAUCCAAUGUGAGCAAUGAGAAUGGAAGAAACUAGGAGAGUGAUGGGACUUCAUGCUUCAAUUAUUCUUGAUUGCCCUUGUUUUGUUUCCUUUUCACCAAACCACUAAACAUGACAUUGCCUGUUCUGCAUUUUCCCAACAACUAAUGUAAGUACAAUUCCCCUCUGUACGCCAGCACCAUUAGAAGUGUCUGAAUCAUCUUGAAAAAGUAUGUGUAGUAGAGCAGUGUCAUGGGAAGUAAUGUUAGCGGGGGGAAGAAGGAAAACAAUGAUUAGAGUGGUAAGCUGAGUUUGGGGUGCAAAAUAUAGAGAUGCCACAUAAGCAUCUAUGCAACAGGUCACACAGGGCUCCAUGCCCUUUGAGCCUUCUAGCCCUCAUAGCAGAGAGACGUGCAUUAUUUAUUACAGAGCUCUUCAUAGCACUGGGUAAAAAUAAAAAUCUACUCCUUCUAUAGAAACCUUAAAUGUUCCCAAUAUGAAGUCUUGAGAGAAAUUUUUCUUCCCUGAAGUCUCUCAUUUAUGCUCAUAACUCCUGGCUGAAUGUACAUUUAGACCAUUGCCCUGGAUGUUUGUCUUCUACAUUUCUGGUAAGAAGAAAUGUGCAACACAUAAGCUAAAAUUACCAUGGUGCCUGUGAACCACCUCCAACCCACCAUUCCACCAAUAAAAGGAGGCUAAAUCCAAACUAUGAAUUGUUUCAGAUGGGCUCAUGAAUUGGGCAAUGACUUAGACUCUUCCAUACAAUAAGGCUAUGGUUUCCCAACACUAGACAUAUAACCAUGACUUAGUCUUAUGGGGUAGAACUAAGACAUUUCCAUUAAUGACUGGAAAGAAAAUGUCACCUAAGAAGGGGAAACUACUAAAAUCAGCCCAAUAAUCAGAUCCGUGGCCCUUGUGCUUCUGAAUCUAAUACAGUCAUUUCUUUCAGUGUUCAUAAUAAACCUCUCUCCAGAAGAGCCGCAUCCCACAACAAUAGGCAACUACCCAUUUGUAUGAAUUUGUGUCUCCCUACCUAGAAUUAAGAAGAAGAUUUUUGCCUUUAAUUAGAUAUGGUGGUGAGUUUCCUCACCCAUUUCCAGCAGAAGCUGUUAGCUUUUUCUUGAUUUUAUUUCCUUCAAAUUCACUGGCAGCAAAUUCAUGUCUGGAAAAUCAUCCCCAUGGCUGUCCUUUGGCUCCUGCCUAUAAGAUUGUGUGAUAUCAGUUCAAAGACGAGGCAAGCAAAGAUCUUAGUUAUUCUAUGUGGGUAGGAAAUAUCCUCAUCAAAAGAGCUAGAGUCCAGGCUGCCUCUGACAGGCAUGGCAUAUCACAAAUGCCAGGACGUUUUCCCCUGGGUACUAAUCCUUGCUGGAAACCUGAGAUAAAGCUAGGGCCCCAAUGAAUCCACUUCCUUCAUUUUGCAUGCCAAAAUCCAUUUGGCUGGGAGAGGAUUGCUCUGUGUAUGUUUACCUUCUUUGAAACCACAAAGGAUUUGUUUUGAAAACUGCAACAAAUGGAAACCAAAGACCAGUAAAGAGAAGCAAAUUGGGUAAGGGUGUGGGGAGGCAGAAGCACAUUGUGAAACAUUUAAUCAACCUUUGAUCAUUUCCCUUUAAGAUGUCAGGGUCACUGUUUUGAGGAAGGUAGAAAAUAAAGAUGUUUCCAGGAGCCCUGACAUACUUCAGACGGAAGUUUCCUUUUCCAUGGGAGGGAGGCAUUCAUCUACAGAUUCCAACAAAGCCUCCAGUGGAGACAUCUCCCCUUAUGACAACAACUCCCCAGUAUUGUCUGAGCGCUCCCUGCUGGCUAUGCAAGAGGACAGGGCCCGGGGGGGCUCGGAGAAGCUUUAUAAAGUGCCAGAGCAGUAUACACUGGUGGGCCACUUGUCAUCGCCAAAGUCAAAGUCAAGAGAAAGUUCUCCUGGACCAAGGCUUGGAAAAGAAAUGUCAGAGGAGCCUUUCAAUAUCUGGGGAACUUGGCAUUCAACAUUAAAAAGUGGAUCCAAAGACCCAGGAAUGACAGGCUCUUAUGGCGACAUUUUUGAAAGCAGCUCCCUCCGACCGAGGCCUUGUUCUCUUUCUCAAGGGAACCUUUCCCUGAACUGGCCUCGGUGUCAAGGGAGCCCGACAGGGCUGGACAGUGGCACUCAGGUAAUUCGGAGGACUCAGACGGCGGCCACCGUGGAGCAGUGCAGUGUCCACCUUCCGGUGUCACGUGUCUGCAGCACUCCCCACAUCCAGGACGGCAGCAGGGGGACCAGGCGGCCUGCAGCCAGCUCUGAUCCAUUUUUGUCCCUAAACAGCACAGAAGAUCUAGCUGAGGGCAAGGAGGAUGUUGCCUGGCUGCAAAGCCAGGCCCGACCUGUGUACCAGAGACCUCAGGAGAGUGGAAAAGAUGACAGGCGCCCCCCUCCUCCUUACCCGGGGUCAGGGAAGCCUGCCACAACCUCUGCCCAGCUGCCACUAGAGCCUCCCCUGUGGAGGCUCCAGAGGCAUGAAGAAGGUUCAGAAACAGCUGUGGAAGGAGGCCAGCAGGCCUCAGGGGAGCAUCAGACCAGGCCAAAAAAACUGAGCAGCGCCUACUCCCUCUCAGCCAGCGAGCAGGACAAACAGAACUUAGGGGAAGCCAGCUGGCUCGACUGGCAGCGAGAGCGGUGGCAGAUCUGGGAGCUUCUAUCAACUGAUAACCCCGACGCCCUCCCGGAAACCCUAGUAUAAGCCCGCCAGCAGCUGGAGCCCACCCUUCCAAAACACAUCUUCCGGUCCAGACCCGGAAACCUUGCCUAUGGACAAUUGGACACUUACUUGUUUUUCUUUUUUGUUUUUCCACACUUUGAAAAAGCAACACAAAAGAAAGUCCACUUAUUGAUUCACUUCUACCCCUGCCAUUUAUGGUAAGAUUCUAUUGCAUAGCCAGCCUUAGGAAAAAAACAAAUAAACCAACAAACAUGACAAUUCCCAAGCUCAAAACAACCCACAUUGGCUCUAUGUAAGAAACUCUUGCUUCGUUAUAGCUUAAUUGUAUUUGUGUCUUCAAUUUUGACUAUUGUAUAUUCUGUAACAAAUUAUGUAUAUCAAUAUGAUAUAUUCACAGAGAAGACAGAACAAUUAAAAAUCACUGCACUUAUAUUACACACUGAGAUAUAUUAAGCAACCAGAUUCUAUAUGCUCUGGAAUAUGCACAAGCGGGUAUCUGUGCUUUUUGCCAUCACCUUUUAACUGGGGGCAGCCCCUCCCUUCAAUGCCUAAGGAAAUACUAACCAAACAAGAGAGAAAAUGAGAAGCCAUAUUUUUAUAUAGUAUUGAGACACAAAAGUUGUAGUCACUGAAUGCUUUUUCAUAGCAAGUAUGUUUUAAGGAAAUAUUAAAUUUGAUACAUUGUGAAAUAUAUUUUUAGAAUCUGUUUAGAAAGGACUCAGAAAAUCAAAUCAGAGACAGGUGGGACCCAAGAGUACUUAAGAGAGUUUCUAUUCCACUCUAGGUCAAAUUUAAUUUUAUAUAGGCCACUAAUAAUAUAUAUUUAUAAUGGAUUACUUUUAUGUAUUUUUCAAAGCUACCAACUGAAAUCCAAUUUUAAAAAGCUUUAAAAUCCAAAUACACAUUCAAAUUAUAGAUCAUUUCCCCCAUCUGCCCAGUUAUCAAUAUUAGCUCAAUUACAAGCAAUUCCUUGUAAAGUAAAUCCUAUGGGGGGGGAGCAAAAAAGCUACAUCUUUGCGCUUACAUUGUACCAAAGGCUGAGGAAAUGUGUCUUGAGUAUCUUCAGUAAUAUUGUGUGUAUUGUAACGUAUGUGUUACUACAGUAAACAGUACUUCAACAAUUUCAAGUGUUACAACUGCAAAACCACUUUUGACCAGCAGGUGGCAGUUUGCUUCAGUAUUUUCCAUUGUUUUGUUUUGUUUUUCAAAUCAGAAGGGUCAGUGUAUUAUAUACUAAGUGGGAUAUAUAUGACGUGUUACUCUUAAUCUUCAUGUUGGCAGUGAAAUUUUUCAGUGGUGUUUAUUAAAAUUCUACCUUGUGCCAUGAUGAGUAAAAUGUUAAGUAAAGAUUUGUUGUCAGCUCUUAGUUUUCAUGUUGGCAAUGAAAUUUUUCAGUGGUGUUUCUUAAAAUUCUAUCUUGUGCCACAAUGAAUAAAAUGUUAAGCAAA